AUUGAACGCUGGCGGCAUGCCUUACACAUGCAAGUCGAACGGCAGCGGGGGAGAAGCUUGCUUUUCCUGCCGGCGAGUGGCGAACGGGUGAGUAAUACAUCGGAACGUGCCCUGUAGUGGGGGAUAACUAGUCGAAAGAUUAGCUAAUACCGCAUACGACCUGAGGGUGAAAGUGGGGGACCGCAAGGCCUCAUGCUAUAGGAGCGGCCGAUGUCUGAUUAGCUAGUUGGUGGGGUAAAGGCCUACCAAGGCGACGAUCAGUAGCUGGUCUGGGAGGAGGAUCAGCCAUACUGGGACUGAGACACGGCCCAGACUCCUACGGGAGGCAGCAGUGGGGAAUUUUGGACAAUGGGCGAAAGCCUGAUCCAGCAAUGCCGCGUGUGUGAAGAAGGCCUUCGGGUUGUAAAGCACUUUUGUCCGGAAAGAAAUGGCUCUGGUUAAUACCUGGGGUCGAUGACGGUACCGGAAGAAUAAGGACCGGCUAACUACGUGCCAGCAGCCGCGGUAA
rnacentral:rRNA from 1 species